GAUGAAUAACGCAGCGAAAUGCGAUAAGUAAUGUGAAUUGCAGAAUUCCGUGAAUCAUCGAAUCUUUGAACGCACAUUGCGCCCUCUGGUAUUCCGGGGGGCAUGCCUGUCCGAGCGUCAUUUGCAACCCUCAAGCCCGGCUUGUGUGAUGGGUGCCGUCCCCUACGGGACGCGCCCCGAAGGCAAUGGCGGCGUCGCGGUUAUCCGAUCAGCCAAAGUGUAUGGGGCUUUGUCACUCACUUUACGGCCCGGACCGGCGCCAGUCCGAAUCAAUCUUUUUUCUAAAGUUGACCUCGGAUCAGGUAGGGAUACCCGCUGAACUUAAGCAUAUCAAUAAGCGGAGGA
rnacentral:misc_RNA from 1 species